UUAACAGAUACAGGAUGCCUCUUUGUCAGGC
rnacentral:piRNA from 1 species